rnacentral:rRNA from 1 species
UGCCAGCCGCCGCGGUAAUACGGGGGGGGCCAGCGUUAUUCGGAAUUACUGGGCGUAAAGGGCGCGUAGGCGGUCCGUUAAGUGAGAAGUGAAAGCCCUCGGCUCAACCGAGGAAUUGCGUUUGAUACUACUUUGCUAGAGUCUCGGAGAGGUUGGCGGAAUUCCAGGUGUAGGAGUGAAAUCCGUAGAUAUCUGGAGGAACACCAGUGGCGAAGGCGGCUUUCUGGACCAAUACUGACGCUGAGAUGCGAAAGCGUGGGGAGCGAACAGGAUUAGAUA